UACGGGGGUGGCAAGCGUUGUCCGGAAUUACUGGGUGUAAAGCGCGUGUAGGCGGGAGGCCAAGUCUGCUGUGAAAUCGCUCGGCUCAACUGGGCAGGGUCGGUGGAAACUGGUCACCUGGAGGACGGUAGAGGCGAGUGGAAUUCCCGGUGUAGUGGUGAAAUGCGUAGAGAUCGGGAGGAACACCAGUGGCGAAGGCGGCUCGCUGGGCCGAUACUGGACGCUGAGGAGCGAAAGCGUGGGGAGCGAACAGG
rnacentral:rRNA from 1 species